rnacentral:rRNA from 1 species
CACGUAGGGCGCGAGCGUUGUCCGGAAUUAUUGGGCGUAAAGAGCUCGUAGGCGGCCUGUUGCGUCCGCUGUGAAAGCCCGGGGCUUAACCCCGGGUCGGCAGUGGAUACGGGCAGGCUAGAGGGUAGGUAGGGGAGAAUGGAAUUCCCGGUGUAGCGGUGAAAUGCGCAGAUAUCGGGAGGAACACCAAUGGCGAAGGCAGCUCGCUGGGACGUGACUGACGCUGAGACGCGAAAGCGUGGGGGAGCAAACAGGG